rnacentral:other from 1 species
AUUUCCCUGCUGUGUACGUGAUCUACAAGGAAGCUGUUGAACCAACGAAGAUUAUAUAGGGAGUCUACACGAGGCUGUGGCCGGCACGCCCUUAAGCUGGGAUCCGAUAAACCGCCCUGGGACACCCACCUUUCCGGGAAUGGUUCAACUGGACCAAACCGACACGGCACAAGCGGGGAACUA